GCCCUGGCUGAUCAGUGAAAAAGGCGGUAGAUUUAAGCGCUAUAUCAUUAGAUAUUCAUAUCGCAUAUCUCUACUACGGGUGACCGUGCAUGAGUUCGAACCUCAUCUGAUGCA